rnacentral:rRNA from 1 species
CCUACGGGAGGCAGCAGUGGGGAAUUUUCCGCAAUGGGCGAAAGCCUGACGGAGCAAUACCGCGUGAGGGAAGAAAGCCUACUGGGUUGUAAACCUCUUUUUUCAGGGAGGAAAAAAAUGACGUGUACCUGAAGAAUAAGCAUCGGCUAACUCCGUGCCAGCAGCCGCGGUAAGACGGAGGAUGCAAGUGUUAUCCGGAAUUACUGGGCGUAAAGCGUCUGUAGGUGGUUUAAUAAGUCAACUGUUAAAUCUUGAGGCUUAACUUCAAAACAGCAGUCGAAACUAUUAGACUAGAGUAUAGUAGGGGUAAAGGGAAUUUCCAGUGGAGCGGUGAAAUGCGUAGAUAUUGGAAAGAACACCGAUGGCGAAAGCACUUUACUGGGCUAUUACUAACACUCAGAGACGAAAGCUAGGGUAGCAAAUGGGAUUAGAUACCCCAGUAGUCCUAGCUGUAAACAAUGGAUACUAGAUGUUGAACAGAUCGACCUGUGCAGUAUUAAAGCUAACGCGUUAAGUAUCCCGCCUGGGAAGUAUGCUCGCAAGAGUGAAACUCAAAUGAAUUGACGGCUGGAGAGUUGCGAGACGACACGAGGGAGAGG